rnacentral:rRNA from 1 species
GAUGAACGCUGGCGGCGUGCCUAAUACAUGCAAGUCGAGCGAACAGACGAGGAGCUUGCUCCUCUGACGUUAGCGGCGGACUGGUGAGUAACACGUGGAUAACCUACCUAUAAGACUGGGAUAACUUCGGGAAACCGGAGCUAAUACCGGAUAAUAUAUUGAACCGCAUGGUUCAAUAGUGAAAGACGGUUUUGCUGUCACUUAUAGAUGGAUCCGCGCCGCAUUAGCUAGUUGGUAAGGUAACGGCUUACCAAGGCAACGAUGCGUAGCCGACCUGAGAGGGGGGAGGGCCAAAAGGGAAAUGAGAACAGGGACCACAUCCCGAGGGGGGGACAAAGGGGGAAUCUUCCCGAAAGGGGGGAAGGCCGAAGGGAGAAAGGCGGGGGGAGUAAGAAGGUUUUGGGAAUAGAAAACCUUUUUUAUGAGGAAAAAAAAAAUGUGAAAGAAAAAAGCCACGUUUGGAGGGUACAAAAAAAAAAAACAACGAAUAACUACGC